AGAGUUUGAUCGUGGCUCAGGACGAACGCUGGCGGCGUGCCUAAUACAUGCAAGUCGAGCGGACAGAAGGGAGCUUGCUCCCGGAUGUUAGCGGCGGACGGGUGAGUAACACGUGGGUAACCUGCCUGUAAGACUGGGAUAACUCCGGGAAACCGGAGCUAAUACCGGAUAGUUCCUUGAACCGCAUGGUUCAAGGAUGAAAGACGGUUUCGGCUGUCACUUACAGAUGGACCCGCGGCGCAUUAGCCAGUUGGUGAGGUAACGGCUCACCAAGGCGACGAUGCGUAGCCGACCUGAGAGGGUGAUCGGCCACACUGGGACUGAGACACGGCCCAGACUCCUACGGGAGGCAGCAGUAGGGAAUCUUCCGCAAUGGACGAAAGUCUGACGGAGCAACGCCGCGUGAGUGAUGAAGGUUUUCGGAUCGUAAAGCUCUGUUGUUAGGGAAGAACAAGUGCAAGAGUAACUGCUUGCACCUUGACGGUACCUAACCAGAAAGCCACGGCUAACUACGUGCCAGCAGCCGCGGUAAUACGUAGGUGGCAAGCGUUGUCCGGAAUCAUUGGGCGUAAAGGGCUCGCAGGCGGUUUCUUAAGUCUGAUGUGAAAGCCCCCGGCUCAACCGGGGAGGGUCAUUGGAAACUGGGAAACUUGAGUGCAGAAGAGGAGAGUGGAAUUCCACGUGUAGCGGUGAAAUGCGUAGAGAUGUGGAGGAACACCAGUGGCGAAGGCGACUCUCUGGUCUGUAACUGACGCUGAGGAGCGAAAGCGUGGGGAGCGAACAGGAUUAGAUACCCUGGUAGUCCACGCCGUAAACGAUGAGUGCUAAGUGUUAGGGGGUUUCCGCCCCUUAGUGCUGCAGCUAACGCAUUAAGCACUCCGCCUGGGGAGUACGGUCGCAAGACUGAAACUCAAAGGAAUUGACGGGGGCCCGCACAAGCGGUGGAGCAUGUGGUUUAAUUCGAAGCAACGCGAAGAACCUUACCAGGUCUUGACAUCCUCUGACAACCCUAGAGAUAGGGCUUUCCCUUCGGGGACAGAGUGACAGGUGGUGCAUGGUUGUCGUCAGCUCGUGUCGUGAGAUGUUGGGUUAAGUCCCGCAACGAGCGCAACCCUUGAUCUUAGUUGCCAGCAUUCAGUUGGGCACUCUAAGGUGACUGCCGGUGACAAACCGGAGGAAGGUGGGGAUGACGUCAAAUCAUCAUGCCCCUUAUGACCUGGGCUACACACGUGCUACAAUGGACAGAACAAAGGGCUGCGAGACCGCAAGGUUUAGCCAAUCCCACAAAUCUGUUCUCAGUUCGGAUCGCAGUCUGCAACUCGACUGCGUGAAGCUGGAAUCGCUAGUAAUCGCGGAUCAGCAUGCCGCGGUGAAUACGUUCCCGGGCCUUGUACACACCGCCCGUCACACCACGAGAGUUUGCAACACCCGAAGUCGGUGAGGUAACCUUUAUGGAGCCAGCCGCCGAAGGUGGGGCAGAUGAUUGGGGUGAAGUCGUUUACAAGGUACCCAG
rnacentral:rRNA from 1 species